GGAAGUGCACAAGUGAUGCACCGAAGACUGACCACCGGCCUCCAGCAUCUCUGUUCCGUGCAUUGGUGCGUGUCCAUCGUCGAUCGUUCUGCCCGGCCUUCUUCCCCGUCGACGUCAUCUGGUCUCGCUCCAGACUCCCAGCGCCGAUGGGCGAUGGCCCUGCUAGCGAUGCACCAAUGCACGCAGCACGCCAGCCAGUUUUGGGGCAGGGCCGGGGACAGAAAAGUCCGCCAAUCCGGAGAGUGACUCGCCGUCGCCGUCGCCGUCGGUUAUACUCCGGUCACUGGUCAGUUAGCCAACGCCUGCAGUUCCUUUAUUUUCGGCCCAAGGCAAGAAGCCGUCCGGUCCGUGGUAGCCGAUGACGAAUGACGGCGCAAGAGGCAAGAUGGCGGAUCUCGGCCGAACUGUGUUCCCGCAAGCAAAGCGACCCAACAGCACCUUAUCCCCUCGUUAACACCUCCCCACAUCUCGUUCCUUGUCCUCUCCAUUUCGAGCUCAAGCUCAAUCACUUCGGAUUGGCGGCGGGCACGCGCCGGACGAAAUGGAAGCGGCACCAUCCGCCCGCGCCUUCUCCCCGUCCUCGUCUCCCUCCGCGGGGGCUAGACCCAGCCUUCCCCUCGCGGGCCUGGCCUCGCGGCGCGCCCGGGUGCUCGCGGCGCCGCCCCCGCCCCGCGCCGUCGCCUCCUCCCGCGCGCCGCUGGUGGUCUCCAGCCCGCCACCGCCGGAGGACUCCGGCACGCACAACCCCGCGCACGCCAAGGUCGACCGCUCCGGCCGCUUCUGCAGCCCCCGCGCCGCACGGGAACUCGCGCUGAUGAUUUCCUACGCCGCGUGUCUGGAGGGAACCGAUGUUGUCCGGCUCUUCGAUCGCAGGAUCAGCGCAAGGCGAGAACCCGGGUUUGUUUUCAACAAGGCAUGCCUAUUGAAUUACAACCAUAUGAGCUUUGGCGGGGGACCGCUCGAGGUUGGAACGGAGCAGGAGGCUGAGAAGCUGGCCAGUCAGAACGAUAAGGAUUCAGCCAACGAAGCAGAUGUACUUUCAGCUCCUCCAAAACUUGUUUACAACAACUAUGUAUUACGGUUGUCCAGGGAACUUUUAGUGGCUGUUGCCAGUGGAUGGGAUAAGCAUGUGGUUAUCAUCGACAAAAUAAUUCCCCAGGCUUGGAAGGUUAGAUACCUUUUCCUAAUCUUCUAUGUUGAUUCAUCAAUCCCUUCUACAUGCAUCACAGCAUCAAACUAUUUAUAUGUUCAGCAGUCUGGUUCAAACAUGUACUUAUUCUGUAUAUUACACCACUGUUUUUCACACUACACUGUACUAGUGAACAAUCACUCUGAUGCAUACCAGAAGCUGUUUACAGUUUGGUUUGAACAUAUCCUUAUUCUGUAUAUUACACCACUGUUUUUCAUUGCACUGAAAUAGUGAACAAGCACUAUGAUGCAUAACAGAAGUGUAUGACCAUCAAGGAUGAUUUUCUGCCUUGUGUUUCAGCAUGCAGUGAAAUAUUGAGAUCUCACAUUGUUAUUUAAUUAUUUUAGACUAAUGCCUUACCUUAUUACGAAUUAAUUUUCUAGCAUAGUUAAUUAGUUAUUUCUGUUUGCCACCCCAAGGAUGAGGAAGUGAUACAUAAUCUGAAGAAUGUACCUUCCUUAAUCUGAAUCACUUUGUUUCUAUAUUUGUUUCUACUACCAGAGCUCAGAUGUUUUUAUAGUAAAAAAAAUAUAUGAAACACAAUAUACUUUGCUUUCAGUUUAUAAUCUACCGGUUUUUUAACUGUUGUCCUAAUAUGUGUUUGUAUAUAUUUUAAUAUUUAGUUUUUUGCGUCCUGUUUUAUGGCAUAACCUGCUGUUGGUACAUGGAAAAUUUCAUGGUCAGGAUGAACCUGUGGCAAGGAUUCUUGAGCUCUGCAUUCUACAUAUUGCUAUGGCUGAGAUGGCAUCAAAAGGAACACCCCACAAAGUUGUCAUUAAUGAGGCAGUAGAUCUGGCAAAGCGAUUUUGUGAUGGUGGUGCCCCUCGGGUAAUCAACGGAUGCCUUCGAACAUUUGUGAAGGAUCAUGUUGAUGUUGCAGGCACGAGCCAGGAAGCUAAAUCAAAAUCAUGAUUUUUUGCAAAUACUCAUACAACAAAAUGGUGGCUGAAGUAAAGAAGUACGGAGAGAACCUUGCUGUCUUGAGUUCAGGCGAAUACCUUCUGUCUCCAAGGUUUAGCCUUCAACCUAAGGGAAUCUAAAAGGUAAACAUGAUGGACUCAUCAAGGAGCCACAACACGUUCAUUCUUUUAGAAUGUUCGGUUAUUAGGUGAAGUAUACAGAGCUGUAAACCGGUGAUGCACAUUCAUGCUUCAUCUAAAACAACCGAAGGUUAUGGCUUCUGAUAGCCUACUCGACGCAGAUCGUUAAAUGAUCAGAUAUUAAGAUGACCAGGAGUUGUGUAAAAGCUUGAUGCAUAUGUAAAAUGUUAUAUAUACUUGGCAUUGGCUCAUUGCAAUGGGAGAAGGAUAUUCUAGUUUCAUAAGUUGAUGUAAGACAUGUACGCUCAUUUUAGGAUUAUUAAUCGCAUAUUGUGUUUGCUUCUA